UACGUAGGGGGCUAGCGUUGUCCGGAUUUAUUGGGCGUAAAGAGCGCGUAGGCGGCCAGGUAAGUCCGACGUGAAAUCUGGAGGCUCAACCUCCAGCGGUCGUUGGAAACUACUUGGCUAGAGUCCGGAAGAGGAGAGUGGAAUUCCUGGUGUAGCGGUGAAAUGCGCAGAUAUCAGGAAGAACACCGAUGGCGAAAGCAGCUCUCUGGGACGGUACUGACGCUGAGGCGCGAAAGCGUGGGGAGCGAACAGG
rnacentral:rRNA from 1 species